AGCGAACGUUGGCGGCAGGCCUAACACAUGCAAGUCGAACGGACCCUUCGGGGUUAGUGGCGGACGGGUGAGUAACACGUGGGAACGUGCCUUUAGGUUCGGAAUAGCUCCUGGAAACGGGUGGUAAUGCCGAAUGUGCCCUUCGGGGGAAAGAUUUAUCGCCUUUAGAGCGGCCCGCGUCUGAUUAGCUUGUUGGUGGGGUAAUGGCCCACCAAGGCUACGAUCAGUAGCUGGUCUGAGAGGAUGACCAGCCACAUUGGGACUGAGACACGGCCCAAACUCCUACGGGAGGCAGCAGUGGGGAAUCUUGCGCAAUGGGCGAAAGCCUGACGCAGCCAUGCCGCGUGUAUGAUGAAGGUCUUAGGAUUGUAAAAUACUUUCACCGGUGAAGAUAAUGACUGUAGCCGGAGAAGAAGCCCCGGCUAACUUCGUGCCAGCAGCCGCGGUAAUACGAAGGGGGCUAGCGUUCCUCGGAAUUACUGGGCGUAAAGGGAGCGUAGGCGGACAUUUAAGUCAGAGGU
rnacentral:rRNA from 1 species